AUUGAACGCUGGCGGCAUGCCUUACACAUGCAAGUCGAACGGUAACAGGUCUUCGGAUGCUGACGAGUGGCGAACGGGUGAGUAAUACAUCGGAGCGUGCCCGAUCGUGGGGGAUAACGAAGCGAAAGCUUUGCUAAUACCGCAUAAGAUCUACGGAUGAAAGCAGGGGACCGCAAGGCCUUGCGCGAACGGAGCGGCCGAUGGCAGAUUAGGUAGUUGGUGGGAUAAAAGCUUACCAAGCCGACGAUCUGCAGCUGGUCUGAGAGGACGACCAGCCACACUGGGACUGAGACACGGCCCAGACUCCUACGGGAGGCAGCAGUGGGGAAUUUUGGACAAUGGGCGAAAGCCUGAUCCAGCCAUGCCGCGUGCAGGAUGAAGGCCUUCGGGUUGUAAACUGCUUUUGUACGGAACGAAAAGACUCUGGUUAAUACCUGGGGUCCAUGACGGUACCGUAAGAAUAAGCACCGGCUAACUACGUG
rnacentral:rRNA from 1 species